rnacentral:rRNA from 1 species
CUGCAGCUCGAGUGGUGAUCGUUAUUAUUGGGCCUAAAACGUUCGUAGCCGGUUUAGUAAAUGCCUGGGUAAAUCGUGUAGCUUAACUAUACGACUUCCGGGUAGACUGCUAAACUUGAGACCGGGAGAGGCUAGAGGUACUCCUGGGGUAGAGGUGAAAUUCUGUAAUCCUAGGGGGACCACCAGUGGCGAAGGCGUCUAGCUAGAACGGGUCUGACGGUGAGGGACGAAGCCCUGGGGCACAAACGGGAUUAGAGACCCGAGUAGUCC